UCGGAGUGUUUCAGGAGUAUUUGUUGAGCAUCCUGGAGCAGAAGAAGCAAAAGGUUGACGUGAAAGUCCAUUUGGGUACAAAGUUUAGCGAGGAGUACCUGAGGAAGAUGCCGAGGGGUGAAUGGCCGCGGGUGAUUGUAGUUGCUGACGGUUCGUGUGGAGACUCCUGCUCUGGUGCUGGGCAUCAGCGCUGAAUUACAUCGUGGAAUCAUGUCGCGCUUACGGCGCCAAUGCUACUAUAGAAAGACCGGACCAGAGACAGGUUCCUACACCAGAGAUCCGUGCACAUAGUUUGUACUUUGAUCUGUCUGCGUACGGGAUCGACACG